GACGUAGGGCGCGAGCGUUGUCCGGAUUCAUUGGGUUUAAAGGGAGCGUAGGUGGCCUUAUAAGUCAGCGGUGAAAUCUCUGGGCUUAACCCAGAAAUUGCCAUUGAUACUGUAGGGCUUGAGUAUAGUUGCCGUUGGCGGAAUAUGACAUGUAGUGGUGAAAUACAUAGAGAUGUCAUAGAACACCGAUUGCGAAGGCAGCUGACGAAACUAUAACUGACACUGAGGCUCGAAAGUGCGGGGAUCAAACAGG
rnacentral:rRNA from 1 species